rnacentral:tRNA from 1 species
AUUCUAGUAGCUUAAUAACAAAGC